rnacentral:tRNA from 1 species
GGGGCUGGGGCUCAGUGGUAGAGUGCUUGCCUAGCAUGCAUGAGGCACUAGGAUCAAUCCUCAGCACCA